rnacentral:rRNA from 1 species
GAUGAACGCUGGCGGCGUGCCUAAUACAUGCAAGUCGAGCGAACGGACGAGAAGCUUGCUUCUCUGAUGUUAGCGGCGGACGGGUGAGUAACACGUGGAUAACCUACCUAUAAGACUGGGAUAACUUCGGGAAACCGGAGCUAAUACCGGAUGAUAUUUUGAACCGCAUGGUUCAAAAGUGAAAGACGGUCUUGCUGUCACUUAUAGAUGGAUCCGCGCUGCAUUAGCUAGUUGGUAAGGUAACGGCUUACCAAGGCAACGAUGCAUAGCCGACCUGAGAGGUGAUCGGCCACACUGGAACUGAGACACGGUCCAGACUCCUACGGGAGGCAGCAGUAGGGAAUCUUCCGCAAUGGGCGAAAGCCUGACGGAGCAACGCCGCGUGAGUGAUGAAGGUCUUCGGAUCGUAAAACUCUGUUAUUAGGGAAGAACAUAUGUGUAAGUAACUGUGCACAUCUUGACGGUACCUAAUCAGAAAGCCACGGCUAACUACGUG